UUGGAGGGCAAGUCUGGUCCAGCAGCCGCGGUAAUUCCAGCUCCAAUAGCGUAUAUAAAGUUGUUGCAGUUAAAGCUCGUAGUUGAAUUUCGGAGUUUAUGGUUGGUCGGGCUUCACUGUCCGCACUGACCUGAUUGAUUCCUACCUUCUGAAUAACCAGCAUGCUUAAGUUAGUGCGUUGGGGAAGCAGAGCUACUACCUUGAAAAAAUUAGAGUGCUUAAAGCAGGCUUAUGCUUGAAUAGAUUAGCAUGGAAUAAUAAAAUAGGACGGCAUGGUUCUAUUUUGUUGGUUUCUAGGAUCACCGUAAUGAUUAAUAGGGAUAGUUGGGGGCAUUAGUAUUCAAUUGUCAGAGGUGAAAUUCUUGGAUUUAUUGAAGACUAACUUCUGCGAAAGCAUUUGCCAAGGAUGUUUUCAUUAAUCAAGAACGAAAGUUAGGGGAUCGAAGACGAUCAGAUACCGUCGUAGUCUUAACCAUAAACUAUGCCGACUAGGGAUCGGACGAUGUUAAUUUUUUAAUGACUCGUUCGGCGCCUUACGGGAAAC
rnacentral:rRNA from 2 species